GGAGAAAACUAGUGAACCCUACACUGUCAUUUUCUGAAAAUUACCAGAUUUAGCUUUAGGAGCUGUGGUUCUUUUGUAUCGUCGCUGUUAGUAUGUGAUGAAUACUCAGAUUAGUGUAGAAUGAGUUUACGCUCGUAUUGGGAUGCCGAAAUUAUUUUACAGUAGUGUGUAGACUGUUUUGGACUGUCGAGUGACAUCGCAGAUGACGGUGAAUCCAGAUUGCUGUUUUUGCAUCAGUUGUGCCAAGAGCAUAUGAGUUUUGGUUGUAGGACCAGCUAGACCCAUUUGCUUUGAUUAUAGCCUGUGAGAGCCUGAUUGAGCUCGAUAGAGAGACACGCUUGCAUACUCGGUUGGGUAGCACCCAUGAGUGCCACU
rnacentral:lncRNA from 1 species